rnacentral:rRNA from 1 species
GACGAACGCUGGCGGCGUGCCUAACACAUGCAAGUCGAGCGAUGAAGCCCUUCGGGGUGGAUUAGCGGCGGACGGGUGAGUAGCACGUGGGUAACCUGCCUCAAAGAGGGGGAUAGCCUCCCGAAAGGGAGAUUAAUACCGCAUAAUAUUAGUUUUUCGCAUGAAGAACUAAUUAAAGGAGCAAUCCGCUUUGAGAUGGACCCGCGGCGCAUUAGCUAGUUGGUGAGGUAAAGGCUCACCAAGGCGACGAUGCGUAGCCGACCUGAGAGGGUGAUCGGCCACAUUGGAACUGAGACACGGUCCAGACUCCUACGGGAGGCAGCAGUGGGGAAUAUUGCACAAUGGGCGAAAGCCUGAUGCAGCAACGCCGCGUGAGUGAUGAAGGCCUUCGGGUUGUAAAGCUCUGUCUUUUGGGACGAUAAUGACGGUACCAAAGGAGGAAGCCACGGCUAACUACGUGCCAGCCGCCGCUGUAAGAC